rnacentral:rRNA from 1 species
UACGAGAGGCCCAAACGUUAAUCGGAAUUACUGGGCGUAAAGUGUGCGCAGGCGGCAGAGCAAAUCGAGUGUGAAAGCCCCGGGCUUAACUUGGGAAUUGCGCUCGAAACUACUUUGCUGGAGUGUGGCAGAGGAAGGUGGAAUUCCACGUGUAGCGGUGAAAUGCGUAGAGAUGUGGAGGAACACCAAUGGCGAAGGCAGCCUUCUGGGCCAACACUGACGCUCAUGCACGAAAGCGUGGGGAGCAAACAGG